AUCCAGCUGACGAGUCCGAAAUGGGACGAAAAGCGCAUCCUGGAU
rfam:Schistosoma curassoni strain Dakar, Senegal genome assembly, scaffold: SCTD_scaffold0004459